UGUCGUCGCAGUGAAUCAUCGAAUCUUUGAACGCACCUUGCACUUGUGGAGUCUAUCCACAAGUAUACCUGUUUGAGUAUCAUAAACAUUUAUCCAAGCAAUUGGGAUUUGAGGUUCUUGAAGCAUAUUCAGGUUCCUUUAAAUGCAGCGAAGAAAGGAGUAAAGGCAGUGCUUUGCUCUUGAGUGAGGAUGUUUGCAUUCGUGCAAAAUUAUUCAUGAAAGAACAUUGCGAUGCGUUAUUCAAUCUUUCUUUAAAGCAACAAAUAAUGCACCAUUAUAUUACAGUAUAUUAGUGCCGCUUAUUUGCUUGCAGAACAAAUGUGAUCUCAAAUCAGGCAAGACUACCCGCCGAACUUAAGCAUAUCAAUAAGCGGAGG
rnacentral:rRNA from 1 species